CUUUGCAAUGUGCGAAAGCACGACAAGGUUAAUCCGAGUGGUUUCUGCUAAAGGAACCUUUUGACAGUCCUAGAAACACUGUUGAAUAAGGGGUGGGCAAGUUCUGGUGUCAGCCGCCGCGGUAAAACCAGCACCUCAAGUGGUCAGGAUGAUUAUUGGGCCUAAAGCAUCCGUAGCCGGCUCUGUUAGUUUUCGGUUAAAUCUGUACGCUCAACGUACAGGCUGCCGGGAAUACUGCAGAGCUAGGGAGUGGGAGAGGUAGACGGUACUCGGUAGGAAGGGGUAAAAGUACCUUUGUAUCUAUUGAUGACCACCUGUGGCGAAGGCGGUCUACCAGAACACGUCCGACGGUGAGGGAUGAAAGCUGGGGGAGCAAACCGGAUUAGAUACCCCCGGUAG
rnacentral:rRNA from 2 species